UACGUAGGGGGCGAGCGUUGUCCGCAGUUACUGGGCGUAAAGCGCGCGUAGGCGGUCAUUUAAGUCUGAGGUGAAAGGUUCAGCGUUCAACGUGAACAGUGCCUUGGAUACUGGGUGACUUGAGUUCGGGAGGGGGCAGUGGAAUUCCAGGUGUAGCGGUGAAAUGCGUAGAUAUCUGGAGGAACACCGAUGGCGAAGGCAGCUGCCUGGCCCAGAACUGACGCUGAGGUGCGAAAGCGUGGGGAGCGAACGGG
rnacentral:rRNA from 1 species